AGCGAACGCUGGCGGCAUGCUUAACACAUGCAAGUCGCACGGUUGGGGGCAACCCUGGCAGUGGCGGACGGGUGAGUAACGCGUAGGAAUCUAUCCUUGGGUGGGGGACAACCGUGGGAAACUACGGCUAAUACCGCAUGAUCCCUGAGGGGGCAAAGGCGAGAGUCGCCUGAGGAGGAGCCUGCGUCUGAUUAGGUAGUUGGUGGGGUAAAGGCCUACCAAGCCCUACGAUCAGUAGCUGGUCUGAGAGGAUGAUCAGCCACAUUGGGACUGAGACACGGCCCAAACUCCUACGGGAGGCAGCAGUGGGGAAUAUUGGACAAUGGGCGCAAGCCUGAUCCAGCAAUGCCGCGUGGAUGAAGAAGGUCUUCGGAUUGUAAAGUCCUUUUGGCGGGGACGAUGAUGACGGUACCCGCAGAAUAAGCUCCGGCUAACUUCGUG
rnacentral:rRNA from 1 species